UACGUAGGGUGCAAGCGUUGUCCGGAAUUACUGGGCGUAAAGAGCGUGUAGGCGGCCAAGCAGGUCCGUUGUGAAAACUGGAGGCUUAACCUCCAGACGUCGACGGAAACCGCGUGGCUAGAGUCCGGAAGAGGAGAGUGGAAUUCCUGGUGUAGCGGUGGAAUGCGCAGAUAUCAGGAGGAACACCAAUAGCGAAGGCAGCUCGCUGGGACGUUACUGACACUGAGAUGCGAAAGCGUGGGGAGCAAACAGG
rnacentral:rRNA from 1 species